rnacentral:rRNA from 1 species
UUCGAAGCAACGCGAAGAACCUUACCAGGCCUUGACAUGCAGAGAACUUUCCAGAGAUGGAUUGGUGCCUUCGAGAACUCUGAGACAGGUGCUGCAUGGCUGUCGUCAGCUCGUGUCGUGAGAUGUUGGGUUAAGUCCCGCAACGAGCGCAACCCUUGCCUUUAGUUGCCAGCAGUUCGGCUGGGCACUCUAAAGGGACUGCCGGUGUUAAACCGGAGGAAGGUGGGGAUGACGUCAAGUCCUCAUGGCCUUUAUGACCAGGGCUACACACGUACUACAAUGGCCGAUACAAAGGGCAGCGACACUGCGAGGUGAAGCCAAUCCCGUAAAAUCGGUCUCAGUCCGGAUUGGAGUCUGCAACUCGACUCCAUGAAGUUGGAAUCGCUAGUAAUCGUGGAUCAGCAUGCCACGGUGAAUACGUUCCCGGGCCUU